AUUGAACGCUGGCGGCAGGCCUAACACAUGCAAGUCGAACGAGUGGCGGACGGGUGCGUAAUGUCUGGGAAACUGCCCGAUGGAGGGGGAUAACUACUGGAAACGGUAGCUAAUACCGCAUACCAUCGGAUGUGCCCAGAUGGGAUUAGCUAGUAGGUGGGGUAACGGCACACCUAGGCGACGAUCCCUAGUUGGUCUGAGAGGAUGACCUGCCAUACUAGAGCUUAUACACGGUCCAGAUUCCGCCGGGAGGAGGAAGUGGGUAAUAUUGCACAAUGGGCACAAGCCUGAUGCAGCCAUGCCGCGUGUAUGAAGAAGGCCGUCGGGUUGGAAAGUACUUUCAGCGAGGAGGCGUUACUCGCAGAAGAAGCACCGGCUAACUCCGUGCCAGCAGCCGCGGUAAUAC
rnacentral:rRNA from 1 species